rfam:Oceanimonas sp. GK1, complete genome.
UUUUCCCUGGGGUGUUCGUCCGUGAGUGGCGUCCCUGAGCCGAUAUCAACAGCACAGGAAUCCCGCGUUGCUCGCUAUUGAGCAUGCUCGGCCUCGACCGAGACGCCUGCGGUGGGUACCGGGCUUCCGCCUUGAACCGACGGGUUCAAGGACUAACACUCGCAACGGCACCCUGGGGACCCA